AAAGCAGAUCGGGUGAUUGCACAUAUCGAUUUUUUUGAUAUGUGAGGAAAGUCCGGGCUCCAAAUAGCGGCGUAGCGGGUAAUGCCCGUCCAUUGAAAGAUGAGGAUAACCCCACGGGGUCAUUUUUGGUUUGCCAAAAAUGAGAGCCACAGAGACGAGUCUUCUCGUUUUUACGGGAAGGGUGAAACGCGGUAAUCUCUGCGUGGAGCAAGACCAAAUAGAGAAGGAAUCAGAAAAAUCUGAAACGUGCGGAUGGACUGGUACGAGGCGGCUAGUCUCGUUAUAACUUCUGGGUAGGUCGCGGGAGCCUAGCAGUAAUGUUUGGCCAAGAUGGAUAAUCACCGGGCAGUUUUUUCUGUCUACAGAACCCGGCUUAUAGAUCUGCUUUUAAG
rnacentral:RNase_P_RNA from 1 species